AGUAACGCGUGAGGAACCUGCCUUCCAGAGGGGGACAACAGUUGGAAACGACUGCUAAUACCGCAUGAUGCGUUGGAGCCGCAUGACUCCGACGUCAAAGAUUUAUCGCUGGAAGAUGGCCUUGCGUCUGAUUAGCUAGUUGGUGAGGUAACGGCCCACCAAGGCGACGAUCAGUAGCCGGACUGAGAGGUUGGCCGGCCACAUUGGGACUGAGAUACGGCCCAGACUCCUACGGGAGGCAGCAG
rnacentral:rRNA from 1 species